ACGGAGGGAGCUAGCGUUGUUCGGAAUUACUGGGCGUAAAGCGCACGUAGGCGGCUUUGUAAGUCAGAGGUGAAAGCCUGGAGCUCAACCCCAGAACUGCCUUUGAAACUGCAUCGCUUGAAUCCAGGAGAGGUAAGUGGAAUUCCGGGUGUAGGGGUGAAAUUUGUAGAUAUUCGGAAGAAAACCGGUGGCGAAGGCGGGUUACUUGGCUGGUAUUGACGCUGAGGUGCGAAAGCGUGGGGAGCAAACAG
rnacentral:rRNA from 1 species